rnacentral:rRNA from 1 species
AUUGAACGCUGGCGGCAGGCCUAACACAUGCAAGUCGAGCGAGCGGCGGACGGGGGAGUAAUGUAUGGGGACUGCCCGAUAGAGGGGGGUAACUACUGGAAACGGUAUCUCAUACCGCAUACUAUCGGAUAACCCAUAUGGGAUUAGCUGGUAGGUGAGGUAAUGGCUCACCUAGGCGACGACCCCUAGCUGGUCUGAGAGGAUGAUCAGCCACACUGGGACUGAGACACGGCCCAGACUCCUACGGAGGCAGCAGUGGGGAAUAUUGCACAAUGGGCGAAAGCCUGAUGCAGCCAUGCCGCGUGUAUGAAGAAGGCCCUAGGGUUGUAAAGUACUUUCAGUAGGGAGGCGUUACCGACAGAAGAAGCAACGGCUAACUCCGUGCCAGCAGCCGCGGUAAUAC